rnacentral:rRNA from 1 species
AGCGAACGCUGGCGGCGUGCUUAACACAUGCAAGUCAAACGGGCCCGGGGGGCAACUCCUGGGCCAGUGGCGAACGGGUGAGUAACACGUGGGUAAUCUUCCCCCGAGUGAGGAAUAAGCUUGCGAAAGCGGGUCUAAUACCGCAUGACGCUUCGAGGCACAAGCCUUCGAAGUCAAAGCCGUAAGGCGCUUGGGGAUGAGCCUGCGUCCUAUUAGCUAGUUGGUAGGGUAAUGGCCUACCAAGGCGAUGAUGGGUAGCCGGCCUGAGAGGGUGAUCGGCCACACUGGAACUGAGACACGGUCCAGACUCCUACGGGAGGCAGCAGUGAGGAAUUUUGCGCAAUGGGCGAAAGCCUGACGCAGCGACGCCGCGUGGAGGAAGACGGCCUUCGGGUUGUAAACUCCUGUCAGAGGUGAAGAAUGCCCGCAAGGGCUUGACGGUAACCUCCAGAGGAAGCCCCGGCUAACUACGUGCCAGCAGCCGCGGUAAAGUCACGUCG